UGGCGGCGUGCCUAACACAUGCAAGUCGAACGAGAAAGUGGAGCAAUCCAUGAGUAAAGUGGCGCACGGGUGAGUAACACGUGACUAACCUACCCUUGAGUGGGGGAUAACCUAGGGAAACCUGGGCUAAUACCGCAUAAUACCCGGUCAAAGGAGCAAUUCGCUUAAGGAGGGGGUCGCGGCCGAUUAGUUAGUUGGCGGGGUAAUGGCCCACCAAGACGAUGAUCGGUAUCCGGCCUGAGAGGGCGCACGGACACACUGGAACUGAAACACGGUCCAGACUCCUACGGGAGGCAGCAGUGGGGAAUUUUGCGCAAUGGGGGAAACCCUGACGCAGCAACGCCGCGUGGAGGAUGAAGUCCCUUGGGACGUAAACUCCUUUCGAUCGGGACGAUUAUGACGGUACCGGAAGAAGAAGCCCCGGCUAACUUCGUGCCAGCAGCCGCGGUAAUACGAGGGGGGCAAGCGUUUGUCGGAAUUAUUGGGCGUAAAGGGUGCGUAGCCGUUUGGUAAGUCUUGUGUGAAAUCUUCGGCUCAACUCGAAGCCUGCACGAAGAACUGCCGGCUUGAGUAUGGAGAAGUGAGUGGAAUUCCCGGUGUAGCGGUGAAAUGCGUAAUAUUCGGAGGAACCCCUGUGGCGAAGCGGCUCCACUGGACCCAUACUGACGCUGAUGCACGAAAGCUAGGGGAGCAAACAGGAUUAGAUACCCUGGUAGUCCUAGCCCUAAACGAUGAUCGCUUGGUGUGACGGGUACCCAAUCCCGCCGUGCCGUAGCUAACGCGUU
rnacentral:rRNA from 1 species